rfam:Candidatus Daviesbacteria bacterium RIFCSPLOWO2_01_FTLL_39_12 rifcsplowo2_01_scaffold_7350, whole genome shotgun sequence.
UAGGUUAAAAUAACUAAGCUUAAGACAGUAGGCGUAAACUUAAGUCCUACCGAGGCGAAAAUUAACUGAAUGUUAAACGCCUCAAGAAAGGCGUUUUUUAAUGGCUAA